UUUUGAUUACCUCAACAAAACAUUUACCUGAAUUUUGUGUGUAUUGUUCCAAGUCCAGCAAUUACCAGGUUUUAAGGAAGACCAGAGCUUUGCUCUCUUUGUACAGCCAUAUAGGGAGCAUGCAGUGCUUAAAUCUCACCCCAGAGGACAGCUUGCUGGCUUCACCCAGAAGACAUGUUAGGCCUCCACAGCACCUUUAGGACCCCAAGAAGAUGACACGCAUUUGUAGCUCAGACUGUGUACUACUACAGGAAGGUGAGAUAGCCAUUGCGAGCCUCCCUUUUCCAAUGUGCAGCUGUUUGGGGAAUGUCAGCCAGCACCAACAAGAUUAUUUCCGCCAUAGCUCCAACAGAGACAGAUGGACUGACCUGCAAAGAUGCUGAAGUCCUUCAGAGAACAGCAAUUAAACCUGAAGCCACAAUGUC